CUGGCUCAGAACGAACGCUGGCGGCGCGUCUUAAGCAUGCAAGUCGAACGGUAAGGGAGAGCUUGCUCUCCCCUAGAGUGGCGGACUGGUGAGUAACGCGUGGGUGACCUGCCCUGAAGAUGGGGAUAGCUAGU
rnacentral:rRNA from 1 species